rnacentral:rRNA from 1 species
AGAGUUUGAUCAUGGCUCAGGAUGAACGCUAGCUACAGGCUUAACACAUGCAAGUCGAGGGGAAACGACAUCGAAAGCUUGCUUUUGAUGGGCGUCGACCGGCGCACGGGUGAGUAACGCGUAUCCAACCUGCCCACCACUUGGGGAUAACCUUGCGAAAGUAAGACCUAAUACCCAAUGACGUCUCUAGAAGACAUCUGAAAGAGAUUAAAGAUUUAUCGGUGAUGGAUGGGGAUGCGUCUGAUUAGCUUGGUUGGCGGGGUAACGGCCGACCAAGGCGACGAUCGAGUAGGGGUUCUGAGACGGAAGGUCCCCACAUUGGAACUGAGACACGGUCCAAACGUCCUACGGAGGCA